UGGACAAAUGAUGACGGGUGGCAUAUGAGUCAUAUUCAAUGAAUACUAUGUGUCUGGAACUCUGAGGUCCAA